rnacentral:rRNA from 1 species
ACGGGGAGCAGCAGGCGCGAAACCUUUACACUGCACGAACGUGCGAUAAGGGGACUCCAAGUGCGAGGGCAUACAGUCCUCGCCUUUCCCUACCGUAAGGUGGUAGGUGAAUAAGAGCUGGGCAAGACCGGUGCCAGCCGCCGCGGUAAUACCGGCAGCUCGAGUGAUGGCCAAUAUUAUUGGGCCUAAAGCGUCCGUAGCUGGCCGAACAGGUCCGUCGGGAAAUCCGCUCGCUCAACGAGCGGACGUCCGGCGGAAACCAGUCGGCUUGGGACCGGAAGACCCGAGGGGUACGGCCGGGGUAGGAGUGAAAUCCUGUAAUCCUGGCCGGACCACCGGUGGCGAAAGCGCCUCGGGAGGACGGAUCCGACAGUGAGGGACGAAAGCUUGGGUCACGAACCGGAUUAGAUACCCGGGUAGUCCAAGCUGUAAACGAUGCUCGCUAGGUGUGGCACUGGCUACGAGCCAGUGCUGUGCCGUAGGGAAGCCGAGAAGCGAGCCGCCUGGGAAGUACGUCCGCAAGGAUGAAACUUAAAGGAAUUGGCGGGGGAGCAC